GAGUUUGAUCCUGGCUCAGGAUGAACGCUAGCGGGAGGCCUAACACAUGCAAGCCGAGCGGUAUUGUUUCUUCGGAAAUGAGAGAGCGGCGUACGGGUGCGGAACACGUGUGCAACCUGCCUUUAUCUGGGGGAUAGCCUUUCGAAAGGAAGAUUAAUACUCCAUAACAUAUUGAACGGCAUCGUUUAAUAUUGAAAGCUCAGGCGGAUAGAGAUGGGCACGCGCAAGAUUAGCUAGUUGGUGAGGUAACGGCUCACCAAGGCAAUGAUCUUUAGGGGCCUGAGAGGGUGAUCCCCCACACUGGUACUGAGACACGGACCAGACUCCUACGGGAGGCAGCAGUGAGGAAUAUUGGUCAAUGGGUGCAAGCCUGAACCAGCCAUCCCGCGUGAAGGACGACUGCCCUAUGGGUUGUAAACUUCUUUUGUAUAGGGAUAAACCUUUCCACGUGUGGAAAGCUGAAGGUACUAUACGAAUAAGCACCGGCUAACUCCGUG
rnacentral:rRNA from 1 species